AGUUGACAGAACUUCCGUUCAUCAUCGUCAGCUGGCUAUGGUUUCCAUAUGCAAGCUCAUUCCACUCUAUUGGCUCUCAUGGAGUAGUUACUGCUGAUCUGAUUUUGUGAAUGACAAAACUGAGCCUCAGAACGGUAAUUUAGAGUCCAAAUAACAGCAUCCUCACACCUGGUGGGCUAUGCAGCUAUGCAUGCUGGGAAUGGUAAGGACUGCGAGGAACAGGGGAAGUCCAUUGCAAGCCAUCAUCACUUCUAAAUGAAGACACAAGCUCUGCUGAUGGUGGGAACUGGCCAGAGGCAACAGCAUCAAAGCCACAGGGCAUCUCACAUGCAAAGGAGCACUCGGUCAGAGCCCGAUGUAGGGCAUUUUGAUG